CUUAAAAAAUUAGACUUGUGAGACGGAUACAACAAAUUCUCUAAAAAAUGGCUGUGUAGCGUCCUCGUGUCCUCUUAAAGAAAAUUCCAUUGCAAUAAGUUGUAAUAUAUAUAAAAUGUCAAACAUUAAAUAUUUAAGUAUGCAAUUUACUCAAUUUUUGUGGGUUAAUAAAUAAUAUUAAAUUGAACAAACUUUAUUAAAUAAGACUAUUGUAGGUACAUAUUAUACCUAUAUAUAUCAGUAUGACAGUGGUUUUUAUCCUUUUUUUUAUGACGAAACACUUAAUAUUUUAUAAGAUAUUCACGGAACACAGCACACUAUAAAAUAGAAUUUAUAUCCGUAAAAUUGUAUAGCAUAUUAAACAAUGCAUGUAUAGCAUAAAAUAGUUUACAUAAAAAUUACAAAUUAGCCAGUAAAAAUUAAUAAAAUCAAUAAAAAAAAAUUUCACAAUUUUAUAAUAUUUUUCCGCCGAUUUUAAAAUGUUGGCGGAACAUUUAUUCUAAGUCCACGGAACACAGGUUAAGAUCCACUGCUAUACGACUAUGAAUUUUUAUUGGUUAAACUAUUAUUCAUAAACCGCUAUUAUAAUAGCAUUUCAUUUUAGUAAUGUCAAUAUUAAAUUUAUAAACAUGUAUUUUCAAGAAAAAAUAAUUAUUAGUGAUGAUGAUGGUGAAAUAAGAAAAAUAAAGAAACAAAGCGAUUUUACACCACUCCGAGAGUAUGAUGUAUAUGGAGAAAAAAUAUAUUUAUCGAAAAUUGACUAUGGGAAAGAUAAAAUCAGAAAUGCCAUCAAAUCAAAUAAUUUAAGUAUGCAAACACCUUUAACAAUUCAAACGGCCAAAAGAACCUGGCCAGACAUUGCAAGAAAAUACUACAAUAAUCAAAUGGCCACUUUAAAUAAAAAGAAGAAAUCUGAAAUGUUUUUCACUACAAAAAAAUGGUGCGAAAAAAAGAAGGCUGAAGCAAAGGCUGCAGAAGAGAAGAUGGCUGCAAAAAAUGUUUAAGUAAACGUUGGUCAUGUUCAUCUACAUCGCCAAGUUACCUGAUCUACCUAGCUACGCUAUGAAGUUUCAGUUUCCUUUCAGUUCCUAAAAAUGAAAAUUUAUCACGAUGAGGCAGACGCGAGACGGCAGCUUACUUUUGGAGCUUCCAAAGGGGGCGAGCUCCACCACCGCGGCUAGGAACCUAGUGUCGGCCAUGUCGGAUAGGCUCGGUCAAGCCAUCGGCAAGGUCCACCAGCUCGGUAUACAGGUGGAGGUGGAAGUCCUGGACAUCGACGCUGCGGCCACAGGCCAGGAGGUGCUGGAGGCCCUCCGCAACGCCAUCCCAGGGAAGGACGACCCGACGUCGAAGGUCGACCGUGACCGUGAAAAAUUUAAUUUCCUGUUUUGUUGUAUACUUAAGUAAAAAAUGUUGGUUCGAAAAAAUCCAAGGUUAUACAAUAUUUUUUAAAUAUUUAAAAAACCCUAUUUUUAAAACUUGUAUUUCUGAUAGAAUGUUGUAACUACAUUAAUUUAAAUCAAUUACCGAAUUGUAAAAGAACAAAAAAGUUUAAAUUAUGAGGUAAAGAAUAUAAAGAUCUUUGGAAUAUUAAAUUAAACAUGUAUGUUGUCUUUCUAAACAAUAAAAACUUAAAAAUAAAUUAGGGUUUUCUGAAAUAAAGAGUGUUGUGCGUCAAAUAGAUCAAUAUAGUGACAGUGAUGCAAUUAUAGGUAUAAUUUUUCAAAUCAUUGCAGGGGCUCUACGCAGUGAUGAAUCGCUAAAAUAACAUCAACAUUACACAUUGCCAAUAUUUAGUUUAUACCUAUAUUAUUAAUUAUUAUAUUCUGAUAUUAACAAUCUGAUAUAAGAAAAAAAUGUAAACAUAUUUUAUUUUUAAUUAUUGUAUUAUAAUAUAAUAUUCUAGUGAUAAUUUAGUUAUCACAUAUACAUAGUGAUAACAGUAAUAACACUUCGCUCUUACCGGUUUUUUUUUUUUUUUCAUUUGUAAGUACCUCUUUUUCUUUGCGGUCGCUUUUAUUCGUUUUGUCUUUGUGCCUUUUCCGCCUACACAUGUUUUCAAGCUUCAUCUCGACAGAUUAACUAGAAGAAGUAUAGUGCAAAAGAAACUGCAUCUGCCAGCUUGUGUACAUCAGGUACGUUCUUAUCACUUGGAACCCCAAACUUGUCAAUUACCACCUUAUCAACAAACCAGUCAGCUUUUUUUCGGUGACUUUAACGCUGGGCUUUUUCAUUAUCCACCUGUGUUUCAACUCCGACUUAGCUUGCAUGCUGUACUACAUUACUGUACUUUAUGUUGCAUGCUCUUGUCUUAAGGAGUUAUUUUUAAGUAUUUUUAUAUAUUUCUUUUUUCUAUACUCUUGCAUCAAAUUAUGCCUUCAACACCCUCUUCCGUGGCUUCAAAUACUCGUGCACAGGCUCAGAAACCUCCUUCUAUCUCUGACAUUUUGAAGGCAAUCGAAUCGCUCUCUACUUCGCAAUCGUCGCAGUUUAGUGAACUUAAAAGUAGCAUUUCGACACUCACUUCCCAAGUAGCAGAUCUGGUUACUGAAAAUGCUUCUUCCGGGCUGAAAUUGGUGUGCUCCGUUCAAGAAUUGAUGUUUUGGAAUCACGUCCGGUCCCCUCUAUCGAUUCGUCUUCAGUGAUUUUUCGUGAAUCUACUGAACGAAGCAAAAUUGAAUUUAAUGCAAUUGCAUAUGGAGUGCCUGAGUCCGCUGCCAACACCGCUGCUUUAAGAGUUAAUGAUGAUCUACGUACACUUAGCAAUCUUCUUAAACAAAUAACUAUACCUAUACCCACCAAUCUUAAGCUAAUACGCCUAGGCAAUAGUAAUGCGAAGAAACCGAGACCUUUGAAGGUAAUUUGCCAAUCCCAGGCCGAUGCUUCUCAACUUAUUUUAAAUUUUGAUUCACAAACGCAGAAUGGAUUAUUACCAGAACCUGGUUUUCGCAUUGUUCGGGACAAAACCACGCUUGAACGGGAACUUUUGCGUAAAGCUCAUUCCGAUCUGCAACGUAAAAUCGAAAGUGGCUCUUCAGAUUUUACUAUUUCAUAUGUCAAUGGUGUACCUUCAGUGAUUAAAGCCGGUCCAAAAAACGUGAACCCCAGAAGAGGAAGCAACCAUCAACCGAGUUCCACUCAGCAUUUGCAUUAGUUCCUGAUUUCAACUCUGGUAUGCAUGUUUAUUGUAAAAAUAAUAUUUUUUGUACCAUUUGCCGUUUUUCUCAUUCUACCUUUAACUCAUUUUUAUCUAAAUUUAAUAAUAUUAAAACUAACUUUUCUUCUAUACCCUACCCUAAGUUUAAUAAUUUUAAUGUUAUGCCUAAUAUUGAUCAUUGUUUUAAAAUAUACUACCAAAAUGUACGUGGCCUUCGUAGUAAAUUGUUUAAUCUCCGAACUAAUUUUAUUUUAUUAUCUUAUGAUGCUUAUAUUCUCACGGAGACUUGGCUUUCGGAUGACAUCUCUAAUUCUAUAAUGCUUUAGUCCGGUCGGUCAUUGAAUAUGGGUCUAUUGUUUGGUCACCAUAUACCACAGUUGACAUUUGUCGGAUUGAUCGUGUACAAAACAGUUUUAUGCGUUUCGCCGGUUAUUGCAUCAACAUUCCUCAUCCACCACAUGAUUAUGGGCCAUUAAGUCAAGCUCUGAGACUAGUUCCCCUUUCUGUAAGACGUGAUAAUUUUGAUAUCACUUUUAUUCAGCGUCUGAUAGAAGGACAAGUUGAUGCCCCAAGACUACUUGGAGAACUUAGCUUUCCCCACUUACAAGAAUGAUGCAUAAUGCAAAUAAUCAUAUAGACUAUUAAGCCAUAUGUAGUACGAAGGCUCACAUUUUUUUUUUACUUAACUUACACCACAUUGUUUUUUUUGUUUUAAUUACUUACUAAUUCUUUUUCUUCUCUCUAUUAUUAAGUUAGUAUAAGUUAUGAAUCUUAUAUAUAUUGUAUAUGUUUUUAUACUGUUAUCUAUGUACUUCCUGUCUGUUAUUUUGUAAAAGCCG